rnacentral:misc_RNA from 1 species
UUUCCGUAGGUGAACCUGCGGAAGGAUCAUUGUCGAAACCUGCCCAGCAGAACGACCCGCGAACUAGUAUAAACAACCGGGGGCGGGGGGCGUUCUCGCCCCGUGCCCCCGAACGGCGGGGAGACACUCGUGCCUUCUUGCCGAACAUCGAACCCCGGCCCGGUCUGCGCCAAGGAACUUCAACUAAAGAGUGCCUCCGGUCGCCUCGGAAACGGCGUGCGUGCCGGGGGCGAAUCUUGUGCAAAACCAUAACGACUCUCGGCAACGGAUAUCUCGGCUCUCGCAUCGAUGAAGAACACAGC